AUGCAAGCCAAGUUGCUAUUUUGUGACUUUCAAAAAAAAGUUGCUAUUUUGUGCUGCGCUAAAACCCCCAAACUAAUCCUGCGUGUACCUACAUUCUACACUUUGAAUAUUAGUGCCGAAGCAAUUAUUUCUAUUGAUUCGACUCUCCUCUUUAAACCUAAUAUAAUUUUCUCUUUAAACCUAAUAUUUUUAAGACUAAAUACCAUAUUUAUACUUAUGUUUAACUCAAAUUCCCUCUUCAAUAAUUACUGUUAUGAAAGUAAGGUGAUAAAUCCUAAGUAUUUUACUUGCCUUAAACCAUUUCGUUAUUUCUACGUGUUGCUCCCUUGCCAUUGGUGA
rnacentral:rRNA from 1 species